rnacentral:rRNA from 1 species
AGUUGGUGGGGUAAAGGCUCACCAAGGCGACGAUCUGUAGCGGGUCUUAGAGGAUGAUCCGCCACACUGGAACUGAGACACGGUCCAGACUCCUACGGGAGGCAGCAGUGGGGAAUUUUGGACAAUGGGCGCAAGCCUGAUCCAGCCAUGCCGCGUGAGUGAAGAAGGCCUUCGGGUUGUAAAGCUCUUUCGGCCGGGAAAAAAUCGCUUGGGUUAAUACCCUGAGUGGAUGAUGGUACCGGAAUAAGAAGCACCGGCUAACUACGUGCCAGCAGCCGCGGUAAUACGUAGGGUGCGAGCGUUAAUCGGAAUUACUGGGCGUAAAGCGUGCGCAGGCGUUUUGUAAGACAGGCGUGAAAUCCCCGGGCUCAACCUGGGAACUGCGUUUGUGACUGCAAGGCUAGAGUAUGGCAGAGGGGGGUGGAAUUCCACGUGUAGCAGUGAAAUGCGUAGAGAUGUGGAGGAACACCAAUGGCGAAGGCAGCCCCCUGGGCCAAUACUGACGCUCAUGCACGAAAGCGUGGGGAGCAAACAGGAUUAGAUACCCUGGUAGUCCACGCCCUAAACGAUGUCAACUAGGUGUUGGGUGGGUAAAACCAUUUGGUACCGUAGCUAACGCGUGAAGUUGACCGCCUGGGGAGUACGGCCGCAAGGUUAAAGCUCAAAGGAAUUGACGGGGACCCGCACAACGGUGGAUGAUGUGGAUUAAUUCGAUGCAACGCGAAAAACCUUACCUACCCUUGACAUGCCAGGAACUUGCCAGAGAUGGCUUGGUGCCCGAAAGGGAGCCUGGACACAGGUGCUGCAUGGCUGUCGUCAGCUCGUGUCGUGAGAUGUUGGGUUAAGUCCCGCAACGAGCGCAACCCUUGUCGUUAAUUGCCAUCAUUUAGUUGGGCACUUUAACGAGACUGCCGGUGACAAACCGGAGGAAGGUGGGGAUGACGUCAAGUCCUCAUGGCCCUUAUGGGUAGGGCUUCACACGUCAUACAAUGGUCGGUACAAAGGGUUGCCAAGCCGCGAGGCGGAGCCAAUCCCAGAAAGCCGAUCGUAGUCCGGAUCGCAGGCUGCAACUCGCCUGCGUGAAGUCGGAAUCGCUAGUAAUCGUGGAUCAGCAUGUCACGGUGAAUACGUUCCCGGGUCUUGUACACACCGCCCGUCACACCAUGGGAGCGGGUUCCGCCAGAAGUAGGUAGCCUAACCGC